UCCGUAGGCGGAUUGAUAAGUCAGAGGUGAAAUCCCACAGCUUAACUGUGGAACUGCCUUUGAAACUGUUAGUCUUGAGUUAUAUGGAAGUAGAUAGAAUGUGUAGUGUAGCGGUGAAAUGCAUAGAGAUUACACAGAAUACCGAUUGCGAAGGCAGUCUACUACGUAUAUACUGACGCUAAUGGACGAAAGCGUGGGGAGCGAACAGGAUUAGAUACCCUGGGAGUCC
rnacentral:rRNA from 1 species